rnacentral:misc_RNA from 1 species
AAGUCGUAACAAGGUUUCCGUAGGUGAACCUGCGGAAGGAUCAUUAAUAGGCCUUGUCGAGCCUUGGAUUUUCCAUCCUUGGACUCGACAUUCUGAUCAUUCCUAUGUGCACUUAUCGAAGAAUGCUUUGGUAGGUCAGAUAGACCUACCAAAAGUUUUUUCAAUCGACUUCAUUUUUUGUCUGAAAUAAAAAUUAUAAUGAAAUACAACUUUCAACAACGGAUCUCUUGGCUCUC